GGGGGCUAUACAUGCAAGUCGAGCGAACAGACGAGGAGCUUGCUCCUCUGACGUUAGCGGCGGACGGGUGAGUAACACGUGGAUAACCUACCUAUAAGACUGGGAUAACUUCGGGAAACCGGAGCUAAUACCGGAUAAUAUAUUGAACCGCAUGGUUCAAUAGUGAAAGACGGUUUUGCUGUCACUUAUAGAUGGAUCCGCGCCGCAUUAGCUAGUUGGUAAGGUAACGGCUUACCAAGGCAACGAUGCGUAGCCGACCUGAGAGGGUGAUCGGCCACCACUGGAACUGAGACACGGUCCAGACUCCUACGGGAGGCAGCAGUAGGGAAUCUUCCGCAAUGGGCGAAAGCCUGACGGAGCAACGCCGCGUGAGUGAUGAAGGUCUUCGGAUCGUAAAACUCUGUUAUUAGGGAAGAACAAAUGUGUAAGUAACUAUGCACGUCUUGACGGUACCUAAUCAGAAAGCCACGGCUAACUACGUGCCAGCAGCCGCGGUAAUACGUAGGUGGCAAGCGUUAUCCGGAAUUAUUGGGCGUAAAGCGCGCGUAGGCGGUUUUUUAAGUCUGAUGUGAAAGCCCACGGCUCAACCGUGGAGGGUCAUUGGAAACUGGAAAACUUGAGUGCAGAAGAGGAAAGUGGAAUUCCAUGUGUAGCGGUGAAAUGCGCAGAGAUMUGGAGGAACACCAGUGGCGAAGGCGACUUUCUGGUCUGUAACUGACGCUGAUGUGCGAAAGCGUGGGGAUCAAACAGGAUUAGAUACCCUGGUAGUCCACGCCGUAAACGAUGAGUGCUAAGUGUUAGGGGGUUUCCGCCCCUUAGUGCUGCAGCUAACGCAUUAAGCACUCCGCCUGGGGAGUACGACCGCAAGGUUGAAACUCAAAGGAAUUGACGGGGACCCGCACAAGCGGUGGAGCAUGUGGUUUAAUUCGAAGCAACGCGAAGAACCUUACCAAAUCUUGACAUCCUCUGACCCCUCUAGAGAUAGAGUUUUCCCCUUCGGGGGACAGAGUGACAGGUGGUGCAUGGUUGUCGUCAGCUCGUGUCGUGAGAUGUUGGGUUAAGUCCCGCAACGAGCGCAACCCUUAAGCUUAGUUGCCAUCAUUAAGUUGGGCACUCUAAGUUGACUGCCGGUGACAAACCGGAGGAAGGUGGGGAUGACGUCAAAUCAUCAUGCCCCUUAUGAUUUGGGCUACACACGUGCUACAAUGGACAAUACAAAGGGUAGCGAAACCGCGAGGUCAAGCAAAUCCCAUAAAGUUGUUCUCAGUUCGGAUUGUAGUCUGCAACUCGACUAUAUGAAGCUGGAAUCGCCUAGUAAUCCGUAGAUCAGCAUGUUAG
rnacentral:rRNA from 1 species